rnacentral:rRNA from 1 species
AUUGAACGCUGGCGGCAGGCCUAACACAUGCAAGUCGAGCGGAUGAAGGGAGCUUGCUCCUGGAUUCAGCGGCGGACGGGUGAGUAAUGCCUAGGAAUCUGCCUGGUAGUGGGGGAUAACGUCCGGAAACGGGCGCUAAUACCGCAUACGUCCUGAGGGAGAAAGUGGGGGAUCUUCGGACCUCACGCUAUCAGAUGAGCCUAGGUCGGAUUAGCUAGUUGGUGGGGUAAAGGCCUACCAAGGCGACGAUCCGUAACUGGUCUGAGAGGAUGAUCAGUCACACUGGAACUGAGACACGGUCCAGACUCCUGCGGGAGGCCGCAGUGGGGAAUAUUGGACCAUGGGCGAAAGCCUGAUCCAGCCAUGCCGCGUGUGUGAAGAAGGUCUUCGGAUUGUAAAGCACUUUAAGUUGGGAGGAAGGGCAGUAAGUUAAUACCUUGCUGUUUUGACGUUACCAACAGAAUAAGCACCGGCUAACUUCGUG